GAUGAACGCUGGCGGCGUGCCUAAUACAUGCAAGUCGAGCGAACGGACGAGAAGCUUGCUUCUCUGAUGUUAGCGGCGGACGGGUGAGUAACACGUGGAUAACCUACCUAUAAGACUGGGAUAACUUCGGGAAACCGGAGCUAAUACCGGAUGAUAUUUUGAACCGCAGGGUUCAAAAGUGAAAGACGGUGUUGCUGUCACUUAUAGAGGGAUCCGCGCUGCAUUAGCUAGUUGGUAAGGUAACGGCUUACCAAGGCAACGAUGCAUAGCCGAACUGAGAGGGUGAUCGGCCACACUGGAACUGAGACACGGUCCAGACUACUACGGGAGGCAGCAGUAGGGAAUCUUAGGCAAUGGGCGAAAGCCUGACGGAGCAACGCCGCGUGAGUGAUGAAGGUCUUGGGAUCGUAAAACUCUGUUAUUAGGGAAGAACAUAUGUGUAAGUAACUGUGCACAUCUUGACGGUAACUAAUCAGAAAGCCACGGCUAACUACGUG
rnacentral:rRNA from 1 species